CUACGUAGGGUGCAAGCGUUAAUCGGAAUUACUGGGCGUAAAGCGUGCGCAGGCGGUUUUUUAAGACAGAGGUGAAAUCCCCGGGCUCAACCUUGGAACUGCCUUUGUGACUGCAAGGCUAGAGUACGGCAGAGGGGGAUGGAAUUCCGCGUGUAGCAGUGAAAGGCGUAGAUAUGCGGAGGAACACCGAUGGCGAAGGCAAUCCCCUGGGCCUGCACUGACGCUCAUGCACGAAAGCGUGGGGAGCAAACAGGAUUAGAUCCCCUGGUAGCCCACGCCAUAAGCGAUGUCAACUGGUUGUUGGGGAUUUAUUUUCUCAGUAACGAAGCUAACGCGUGAAGUUGACCGCCUGGGGAGUACGGCCGCAAGGUUAAAACUCAAAGGAAUUGACGGGG
rnacentral:rRNA from 1 species